GAACGAAGCAUUUCGGAGGAAGUUUUCGGAUGGAAUCUGGAAUGACUGAGUGGCGGACGGGUGAGUAACGCGUGGGUAACCUGCCCUGUACUGGGGGACAACAGUUAGAAAUGACUGCUAAUACCGCAUAAGCGCACAGGACCGCAUGGUCCGGUGCGAAAAACUCCGGUGGUACAGGAUGGACCCGCGUCUGAUUAGGUAGUUGGCGGGGUAACGGCCCCACCAAGCCGACGAUCAGUAGCCGACCUGAGAGGGUGACCGGCCACAUGGGGACUGAGACACGGCCCAAACUCCUACGGGAGGCAGCAGUGGGGAAUAUUGCACAAUGGGGGGAACCCUGAUGCGGGGGCGCCGAAAAAGUGAAGAAGUAUUUCGGUCUGUAAAGCUCUAUCAGCAGGGAAGAAAAUGACGGUACCUGACUAAGAAGCCCCGGCUAACUACGUGCCAGCAGCCGCGGUAAUACGUAGGGGGCAAGCGUUAUCCGGAUUUACUGGGUGUAAAGGGAGCGUAGACGGUAGAGCAAGUCUGAAGUGAAAGCCCGCGGCUCAACUGCGGGACUGCUUUGGAAACUGUUCAACUGGAGUGCUGGAGAGGUAAGCGGAAUUCCUAGUGUAGCGGUGAAAGGGGUAGAUUUUAGGAGGAACACCAGUGGCGAAGGCGGCUUACUGGACAGUAACUGACGUU
rnacentral:rRNA from 1 species